rnacentral:rRNA from 1 species
UUAAAUGGCCGCAGUAAUUUGACUGUGCAAAGGUAGCAUAAUCAAUAGUUUUUUAAUUGAAAGCUUGUAUGAAAGGUUGGACGAAAUAAUAUCUGUCUUUAUUUAAUAAUUAUUAAAAUUUAAUUUUUAAGUUAAAAAGCUUAAAUAAUUAUAAAAGACGAGAAGACCCUAUAAAGCUUUAUAAAUUUUAAUUUAUAAAUAUUUUAGAUUUUUUAUUUUUAUAAUUUUAAAUUUAUUUUAUUGGGGUAAUAGAAAGAUUUAAUUAAUUCUUUUUUUAUAUUUUAUUUAUUUAUAUUUUAAUGAUCCAUUAUUAUUGAUUAUAAGAUUAAGUUACUUUAGGGAUAACAGCGUAAUUUUUUUAGAGAGUUCAUAUUGAUAAAAAAGUUUGCGACCUCGAUGUUGGAUUAAAGAUUAAUUUAGGUGCAAAAGUUUAAAUUUUUGGUCUGUUCGACCAUUAAAUCUUUACAUGAUCUGAGUUCAGACCGGUUUAAGCCAGGUCGGUUUCUAUCUUUAUUAUAUUAAAAUAUUUUAGUACGAAAGGACCAAAUAUUAAUUAUAUUAAUUAUGAUUUGAAUAAUAAU